UGGGACCAUUGUUAAAGGAUAUUUUGCAUGGACAUUUGCUGACGAUUUUGAAUGGCCGAAUGGUUAUACCAUAAGAUUUGGUCUCUACUACACUGAUUACCAGCAUAACUUGCAUAGAUACCCUAAGAGGUCAGUGCACUGGUUCACAAAUUUUUUGAAGGGAUACAAGUGGAACAAGGAACCAAUGUCGAGCUCUCCACUGCGUUUCUACAGUUCUUCUCCAAGUGAUCAUCAGUACCUGGAUGAGUGAAAAGUCAUUUUUAAAUAAUAACCUGGAUUGCAUAUCCAGAGAAUUAUAAGUUUGUGUUUAAUUAUUGUGCUUGUGUUUGAUGCUUCCAGCAUGGACUAGGAAUUAUCUCUUACCUAGUUUACCAUGAUUGGAUUAAAAAUGUGAUGAGACUUAUAAUUAAAUAAAGCUUUAUGUUUACUUAUUGUCUAGAUCCUGUUUUCCCCUUUUUACAUCGAUCCUUUGGUAUGUAUAAGAAAAACGUUUGCUUCGUAUUAAUGCAUGUUCAAAUAUUUAUCAAAUUAUAUAUAUACAAGAAAAUCAUCAGGCUAAUGUUAGAAUUGUUAGACAGUGAGAAUUCAAGACGAACACAAUCAAUGGUAUAAGAUGAAACAGAAAUCAACUUUGAAUUCUAUUUUAUUUGAUCUUAAGGUGUCCUUAUUUAACACCAUUCUUGCAAAACAUAUAUGAAUCACACACUUGUAGAAUUGGUCAAGAAAGCUUGGGAUUUCCUCUCAUAGUAAUAGUUAUUAGAGGAAGAAGCAUCAGCUGAGAAGAUCAUCACUCCAUUGACAUCAAAUCCAUUUGCCUCCAGCAGAUUUAAAGCAUCAAAAAAUGCGUCUCCUUGAAUGCCCCUUCCAUUCACUUCAUAGCUAGGUAACAAUUUAUCCUUAUCGAAUUGCAUCAAUGGCAAAACCAAGUAUGAAAUGGAAGUCGAUGUUGUCUUCAACUGGAACAGGAUUGAAUGUCACGGGUGGCACCAAUGUACUCCAUCAUCACCUUCGCAUCUGAUCAGAGUUAGAAUAACAAUGUAUAAAUCAAGAGUUUGUGGAUUUCAGCCGAUAUAGAUUUCUUUCCAGAGGUGGAGAAAUACUCUUGAUGAUCAUUUCCUGUUUUCUUGUAGAAAAUCAAUUAUACAAAUAAAAAUAAUAGAUGAAAACUCCUGGCCCAAUCAAUAUAAAUAACCUUUGAUCUUAAAGGAAAUACUGGAUUCUAAAGCCCUCUUAUUUCUUUCUUUUUUUAACAAAGAAAAACACGUCGAAGGAGCAGACUGCGUAGGGCCAAUUUUUCCUUUUAUUGCGAAAAUCAAAGGGAAAUAGAUGCACAGUUUGAUGUCCUACAGAAAUCGUAAAAUUUCUAUUGUUUUGACAUAAUCAUAUCUUUGAAUAUCUUGAAAUCCCAAAGAAAAAAAACAAUUAUAUAAAAGCAAGUAUAUAAUCAACAAAUGAAACCGACCUCAUGGUUUUCUGCUGUUUGUGUGAUUAAUUGUGCAGGUCAAAGGAUUAGUACUGCAUGUUAACUUAUAUAAUAAACUGACAGUAAAUUAAUCUAUUUUUGCGACACUUUCAAGGCAUCAUUGCAGAUUUCUUGUAGAAAAUUAAUCUAUUUUUGCGACACUUUUACUUUUUAAGAGCAUAUUUGCACCACAUUCUCUUAAAUUUUGAAUUUUUUUUGUUAAAAAUUAUUUUUUUUUGUUUUCAGAUUGUUUUGAUGUGCUAAUAUCAAAAAUAAUUUUUUUAAAAUAAUAAUAAAAACAUUAUUUUGAUGCAUUUAUAAGCGAAAAACACUUUGAAUCACAAUCACUACCACAAUCCCAAACAGGUCACCACAAUCCCAAGUUGGGUCAUGACGCAUUUGCGCCUAACUCCACAUUGAGCCAAGAAGCGUCUGCGCCUAACUUCAAGUUAGACCAUGAAAAGUCCGCGCCCAACUCCACCCCGGGUCAGGACACGUCCAAGCCCAACUUCAAGAUGAGCCAUGAUUUGUUCCCACCCGACCACUCUUGGGAUCAGCACGCAAACUAAAAUUAACUCCUCUCGGGUUCAACAUAUAGCUAGAAAGUAACCCCACACUGAGUCUCCCAUGCUCCGGGCCUAGGCUACUAAUUAUGAUACCCAUCACAUCUUAUUAAUUAAUUAUAAAUAAAUAGUUCAUGCUUAUAUUAAUGAGAUGUGAUGGCACAAACAAUAAAAUAAUAUUAUUUUUACAAGAUUACAUUUCUACCUCUCACAUAUUAUAUGAAACAAGUCAAGUUAGGUAAUAUAAAAGGAAGCUUGAGUACACAGAAAAAAUAUUCGAAACCUUAUACUCAUAAACAUAAACACAUUCCUUCUUGAUAAGGGAGAAUUUCAUGAUUCUCCAUAACAUACGCUGCUAUCCCUUCUGUUACUGUAAUAUCGCUAAUAUAUAGCUGUAGGAUAAUUACGCAAUUAAUUGUAUCCUCAUCCUUCCUAUUUUAUAACAAUGUAUAGUUGUCGUAUGUUAAUAUAUAAUGAAUACACUUCUCCUCAUUAGGUUAAGGAGACAUUCAACCAUUCUAUUGUCUUGUAAACAUCUUUACUUCUUCUUCUUCCCUAACUUCUAUAUUUUCUUCUCCUUCUUCUUAUAUAUCUUCAUAAAAGCUUAUUAAUACCUUCAUUCCUAUCUUUUUGCCACAUAAAAAUAUAUCGUGUUGACUUGAUCUUCGAAGGGUCCCCCGGACAUUGUGUAGGUAUUCACUUAAGAGAAAAUUUACAACCUCUGAAGAAAUUCAUUAAAAGAGAAGUCAAUGUAAUUUAAAAAUGAAGGUCGUAGGACACAUUAUGAAUGAUCUAUAGGUGUUCUCAGAAAAAAUUCCUUCAAGAAUAUUCCUUUCAAUUUUCAAGGCAUAGAAGAUUUAUUUGAAAAUUGGGAUUUGAGUUGAUUUAUCCGGUGGUUAAUUUAGUAAAAUAAAUAUUUUUUAUGGUUAAAAGACUUGAUUUUAAUUAGAUUUCUUUAUAAUGAGAGGUUUGAAAUUGGAAUCUCUUAGAGAAAAAAAGAGACUAGUACUUGUUGAAUUACUACUCAUUGGCGUUAAUUAAAUUUCUUUUUUUAAUCCACAAUUAAACACUUUUUAAUUGUUAACUUGGAAGUUCUUCGAAGAGUUCAAGUAAUUCUGUGUUUCAAAAUAUUCUAUGGUGAAUAAAGGAUAAAAACCGAUCAACAACACUCUCUACAAAUCAACAUAAACCUUCGGUUAGGAUCUAAAUUUAUCCUUCAGUCAUUUUUGAGAUGGAAAAAGCUGAUGAUCUUGUUAUCUUUAUUGCUUUAGGGAUGAGUAUGUAUAUCAUCACUCAUUUAUUGCUCUUCUUUAUUGCUGUGCAAGCAACUUUCUGAUCCGUGCUUGUUUAAAGCUCGCAAUCCAAUCUAUAUCUUUCCUUUUCCCUAUCGGAUCACCUUUAGUGGUUGAUCUGGUUAGCUUUCACGCGUACAGUUUCCAUUUAGACAUAUACAGCAAGAAAGAGGAAUCCCCCAGUCCCAUUUUUCUCUCCUCUGGCCUCCCGUAAAAGCCAUAUUCUUAGGGUUCUUGGACUGAAUUCUGCAAGCCCUCUUCGAGAGCACCGAGGGACGGGUGGAUACAAGUUUUCCAAAGGAAAUGGACCCUUCCGAAAAACACAUUCAGAGAGCAUGCAUAAUGCUUGGCUUCCUUUUCAAUGACUCCCCCCACUACUACGUACGUACAAUCAUAAUCCUGCUUUUUCUUCGAUGAUAAACCCGGGUUCAUGUAUGCGUGCAAUGCAUGCAGAGCCAUAUAAAGCGAUCCUCCUCCCCCUUUUGAUCAUGUAUGAUUUUAUUUUCUAUUAUUUCUUAGAAGAUAUUGAUGUACAGAUCUGCAGAUUAUAGCUACCAGUUUUCAGAAGAUAUUGUUUUUCUUGUAAGAACUUAAAAUCAACUGUUUUUAAGGAUUUCCAAACUGAUGCAUGGAGUUGGGAUCGUCGUAAACACCAGGGAUCAAUUUGUUCAACUCAUCUUCUUCCAAAACAAUUUAGUCGAUUCCUGCGCUCACAAUUAAUGGACAAUAUUUUAUACUACGCAAAAACUAAAAAAUCAUCAUCAAAGCAAGUUUAGCGUAUGCUUUGAGUAUAUGAUAGCUUUUUUUGAAGUAAACUAGGAUUUAAAAUGGAUAUAGAAGUGUUAAUUACCAAUGCUUUAAAUCUUGAGGGAUCUAGUGCUUCACAUUUCAGGGUAUAUCAUCUGUUUGGCUGAUCGUCAGAAUGUUCAUGGAUAUCCAUGCAGAUGCAAUCUUUUGGCGUUUUAAUGCAAUACUUUAGUUAUCAAAAAAAUAAAUAAAUACCAAAAGCUACUUUUUUAAAUUAAAUUGUUGUCGCCCCACCAAAAAAAGUUUUGGCCACCCAAGAAAAGCAAUUCAGGAAAAGGCCGUAUAUAUCAAAGAAAACAUGAAUGCACAUUUCACGUGUAGAUUAUAAUCUCCACUGUUAGAGCCUCUAUAUAAAGGGUUUGAUCAUAAGAACUUAAACCACAAAGCCUUUGAACAAUAAUCACACUUAGCAGAAAUGGCUAUCAGAGAGAUGUCUCUUCUUUUAGGGUUCUUAGUGUUGCUUAGCUCAUUGGCUCCUACCAUGCCAAUGACAUAUGUUAACUGCACAAUCCCAUAUGAUCCUGCAUUUUAGCAGAAAUUCCUUCCCAGAUGGCUUUGUUUUUGGGACUGGCUCAGCUGCCUACCAGGUAGCUAGAAUAUAUGAACUUAUCCUUCAUGGGAUCCAGUCCUGGCAAUAUGUUUUGUUUGUUACUAUAUAUAUAGUUUAUAUUUUAAUCUUGAUUUCUUCAUGCAUGUUUGUUACUAUAGAGUUUAUAUUUUAAUCUUGAUUUCUCUCUUUUUUUAUAUGUAGUUUUAUUCCUAUAUAGGUCAGUGUUGAUGGUCGAAUCUUAUGACAGUAGAGGAAGAAACUAUACAUCGAUCCCUUUUUUAAAGGGCGGGCAUGGAAUGUAUAGUUCCUCUCAAUCAUAAUAUUCAGAAAAACAUCUGUGUAUUUCUAGAUAAAUCAAAGAUAAUACUCAUAUAUUAAGGAGAUUAAGAUAUCCUCUAAAGCAUUACAAGCUAGCUUGCAUCUAUACGUUAUUACUUUAUUUAUUUGUAUAAUAAUAAAAAUAUAAUUUAUUUAUUAUUCUAUGUUAUUUGUCUAAUUAUUUCUCUAUCCUCAUUUGAAUGAUAAAUUAAAUUUCUCUUUUUCCCUCUAUCAUUAGGUCUGAAAAAAAGAGAGAGAAAAAAUGGUAUGGAAAAGAGAGUGUUCAUUCAGCUUAAAAUGUGGACUAAACACAUGCCUAAUAAUGAAUAAAUCAUUGUAUUAUUACUCUUAUUAACUUUUGGUCCACUGGAAGCUCCAUCAAGGCCUUCGGCUAUGGUGGGAGUUGCCUUCUUCAGAUCUAAUCCCACCCCUUCAAGGGUCCAAAACCUUAAAUUCUUUAAGUGGUGAGGAGUUUGCUAGUAAUUUAUGAUUAAAUGACAAUGUAGGAUUUGAUCUUCUUACUGAUGAUCAGGUCAGAGAAUAUUCUGUAAUAUCUAAUAAUUAUACAGAUCAAAUAGUUAUUGAUCAAUUAAUCCAAAAUUUUCUUCAUAAAAAAAACCCCAAAAUUUAAGAUUUGAGGUAAAUUAGCAAACUUAAAUUCCUAUAGUUUUAGUUAGCAGAUAUUGUUCAUAUGUAUUUUGAUAAAACCACGAUAUAGAGUAAUUUUUCAUAUCUAGCUAAUGUUGAAACAUCUUUGUGCAUAUGGUGUCUAUUCAGUACGAAGGUCAUGCAAACAAAAGUAACAGAGGGCCGAGCAUAUGGGACACAUUUACUCAUGACUAUCCAGGUAUCUCAAGCAUAAAAAGUCUUUGGGAGGAAGGGAGACUGUGAUUAUGCAAUACCAUGGGCUAUUAUAGUCGGUUCUUAAUCUAUUAUUAUUUAUUAUAAUUUAGGGGGGAAUUGGCUAUUUUUGUUCUCCAGUAAGUUAUAUUUUUGGAGCUAUAUCAAUUAUAUACAGACUCUCAAACAAAUUAAUUUGAAAUGUUAUUUGGAUGAAACUUUGCAGCCAGAAUAAAAGAUCAUAGCACCGGUGAUGUUGCAAUUGAUUUCUACGAUCUCUACAAAGUAAGGAGUGCUUGACAAUGUUUUUGUUACAAAUGCUUUCUUGGUUCAGCACUUGGUAACAAUGAUUAUGGCAGGAUGAUAUUCGGAAGAUGAAGGACAUGCAUAUGGAUGCCUUUAGAUUCUCCAUCUCUUGGACGAGAGUGAUACCUAGUAAGUUUCUUAUGGCCUAGAUUAGUGGCAUGAGGCGUCAUUUAGGUAUACAAUGUUUGCUUAAUUUUUUUUAAUUAAUCACAUUUUAUUCUAAUGAUAUAUCUUUUAUAUAUGUGUUUGAAAUAGGUGGGCAGGUGCAAUGGGGAAUAAAUGAUGAGGGAAUCGAGUUCUACAACAACCUCAUUGAUGAAAUCAUAUUGAAUGGUUAGCACAUAUUAACUCUUAUUUCAAAAUGUUCGGAUUAUAUAUAUAUUUAUAUAGUUUUAUAAUUAAUUUCUUAUGAUCUACUUCAUAUAUACAGGACUUGUGCCUUAUGUGACUCUUUUUCAUUGGGACACUCCUCAAGCAUUGUUUGAUAAGUAUGGAGGUUUUCUAAAUGAAAGCAUUGUGUAAGUUUCAGAUUUAAUUUUUCAUUAAAAAUAUAAACACCAUUAGGAGUGUUUUUCAAGUAUUUGUAUUCGAAUGAAGUCAAGGAUUUUAACUUGCAUGAUGAUGAGUUUUUAUAUAUUAUCCAAUCGACAGCAAUGAUUUUCGAGAUUUUGCCGACUUGUGCUUUCAAAAGUUUGGUGAUCGGGUGAAGCACUGGUUUACUUUAAAUGAGCCAGACACUUACAGUGUUCAUGGCUUUGAUUCGGGCGUUGGUGCACCGGGACGAUGCUCGGCGUGGGUGGAUAAAGCAUGCCAAGCUGGAGACUCUGCUACUGAACCUUACAUCGUCACUCAUAAUUUGCUUCGUUCUCAUGCAGCAGCUGUAAAACUGUAUCGGGAAAAGUACCAGGUACGUUCGUAAUAUAGCAAAACUGAUGAACCAAAAAGAUUAAUCCAUGAAACAAUUACUGCUUAUCUACAGCAGUCGAGUGAGAUCUUCUUCCUCGUGUUGUCUUCUGUUGAGUCUUGUAAUAAUGGAUUGUACGUAGGAACAACAAAAUGGCAAGAUCGGCAUCACACUCUGUUCCUUUUGGUACGAACCUUAUUCAGAGACCCCAGCAGAUUAUGAGGCAGUUCAAAGAAUACUUGAUUUCAAUCUUGGAUGGUGAGUAUUUCUUACACUACUAUUGUUGAAGUCUUGAUACAACACAAAAUAAAAAUUGUCCAAAAAACUAAAAGAGAUUUUGAUGUUUCUAGGCACUUGAGCCCAGUCACUUAUGGUGACUAUCCAAGGAGCAUGAGAAGUUUAGUCGGAGAUCGAUUGCCGAAUUUCACUGCCCAGGAAAUCUUAGAUCUUCGAGGAUCUUAUGACAUUCUUGGAUUAAAUUACUAUGGUGCAUACUAUGCAAAAAAUCUUACCCAUGUUGAUCCUGAUCCAACUCACCUUCGUUAUGCAACAGAUUCUCAUGUCAAUCUUACUGGUAAACUCACAGUUAAAUUCAUAAUAAUUUGUGAAAUUGGAGAUAGAAUAUGGAAAGACAAUGAAUUAGCCAACUUAAAACUCUCUGAGAAAGAGAACCUGGACAGAAGUUUUAUGUUCAAAUUUUAUAAAAUAAUGAAAAGAGAAUUAAGAGUUCCUAGGGGAAAACUCAAGAAUAAAUUAAUUUUAAUUUGAGCUUAUUCAAGCUUAGUGCAUUACUAUUCAUCAUUUAUUUUCCUUCUUGUUUCACAGGAGAGAAAAAUGGAAAGCUAAUUGGACCGCAGGUUUGUGCGCAGUAAAACCUUGCUAUAAAAAUUAACAAUCAGAUACAUUACAUUAAUAUGAUUAAAUGCUGAUUAAUUAGUUAAUCACUAGAAAAACACAUAAUUAACACGGUGUUUCUGAACAUGUAUAGGCUGCUUCACCCUGGUUGUAUGUUUAUCCAAAAGGGAUACGAUAUCUUCUGAACUACACCAAGGAUCAAUACAGGAAUCCAACAAUUUAUAUAACUGAAAAUGGUAUGGAAAAUGUUAUCAAAUCUCAAUUUAAGUGUAGUUAAUUGUUAUAUUGUUAGACUAAUCGUGAUUUCUUCACUGUUUUGAUCUAUCAUCAGGAGUUUCUGAUUUCAACAACGGAUCCCAGAUAUCAUUGAAGACAGCACUUAAUGAUACUUGCAGGGCAAAAUACUAUCAUGACCAUCUCAAGAAUGUUCUACGCUCCAUUGAGUGAGUUUAAUCUCUCUCUCUCUCUCUCUCGCACACACAGCUAGCAACUGUCUACUAAUUUGACAGUCAAAAAUCUUGGCAGAAACUAUGGGACCAUUGUUAAAGGAUAUUUUGCAUGGACAUUUGCCGACGAUUUUGAAUGGCCGAAUGGUUAUACCAUAAGAUUUGGUCUCUACUACACUGAUUACCAGCAUAACUUGCAUAGAUACCCUAAGAGGUCAGUGCACUGGUUCACAAAUUUUUUGAAGGGAUACAAGUGGAACAAGGAACCAAUGUCGAGCUCUCCACUGCGUUUCUACAGUUCUGCUCCAAGUGAUCAUCAGUACCUGGAUGAGUGAAAAGUCAUUUUUAAAUAAUAACCUGGAUUGCAUAUCCAGUGAAUUAUAAGUUUGUGUUUAAUUAUUGUGCUUGUGUUUGAUGCUUCCAGCAUGGACUAGGAAUUAUCCCUUACCUAGUUUACCAUGACUGGAUUAAAAUUGUGAUGGGACUUAUAAU
rnacentral:lncRNA from 1 species